UAGAGGGUAGCAAUAUUCUCUAGUUGGAGUGGCGCAAGGGUGCGUAACACGUGGGCAAUCUGCCGUGAAGACUGGGAUAACUCGCUGAAAGGCGAGCUAAUACCGGAUGAGACUUUUGGGAGGCAUCUCCUGGAAUUGGAAGCUGGGGACCCGCAAGGGCCUGGCGCUUCACGAUGAGCCCGCGGCCUAUCAGCUAGUUGGUGAGGUAAUGGCCCACCAAGGCUAAGACGGGUAGCUGGUCUGAGAGGACGACCAGCCACACUGGAACUGAGACACGGUCCAGACACCUACGGGUGGCAGCAGUCGAGAAUUUUUCACAAUGGGCGCAAGCCUGAUGGAGCGACGCCGCGUGGGGGAUGAAGGGUUUCGAUCCGUAAACCCCUGUCAUUUGCGAACAAACCUUAUGGAAUAACACUCCAUGAGCUGAUUGUAGUGAAAGAGGAAGGGACGGCUAACUCUGUGCCAGCAGCCGCGGUAAUACAGAGGUCCCAAGCGUUGUUCGGAUUCACUGGGCGUAAAGGGUGCGUAGGUGGCCGUGGAAGUUUGAUGUGAAAGCUCGGAGCUCAACUCCGAAAUGGCAUUGAAUACUCUACGGCUGGAGGGUCGGAGGGGAGACUGGAAUUCACGGUGUAGCA
rnacentral:rRNA from 1 species